CCACUGCAACAAAAAAAACAAAGAAAAAAGAAAAAAAACAAGCGCCUUCUGUCCCAGCAGUUCGCCGCGCUGCCGCACAGCCUACCUCGACGGCCGCCUUGCUCGCCGUCCUGCGGCGUUGAUCGCGCGGGCUUUGCCAACGCUCCUUGUCUCCCAGCCAUUCUCUCCACCGUCGUCUCCUCUUGCUCGGAUGCUGCCGCUAUGAAAAGGGGAACAAGGGAUUAGGGUAGGGGCGGCUUCGCGUCGGAGGAGCUUGAGCCGCCUACCGCGGCGGAAGGGAAGGGAGUCCUCGCCUGGGCGGCGACACCGUGUGCACCCUUGGGAGCUGCCGCCACAGCCAGUAGCUCGGCUCGUCGGAAGUUGCGCCCGUCCUCGUCUUCGCCUGCCGAUGAACGGAGAAGCCAAUAGGGGCCGCUACUCUCCGCACCAUGAUGUGUCGAGAGAUUGAGAGAGAAGGAGAAUGGAAAUUAGAAGGGAAAGAGGAGGAGGAGAGCCGUGUGAAACGGAAAACCGGAUCACGUGAAUCUUACGUGGGUCCCAUAUGCGGGAUAAGAGUGGAUAGAAUGGUUGUUGGAAUCGCUGCUAGCAAUCACCCGCUGAGUUGGAUUUGCGCGAUAUUAGCUCUGGCCACCAAGUUUUUUUCUAUGCAGGGAUAUCCUAUAUUGGC
rnacentral:lncRNA from 1 species